GGGUUGUGAGGUUAAGCGAACAAGCGUACACGGUGGAUGCCCUGGCAGUCAGAGGCGAUGAAGGACGUGCUAAUCUGCGAAAAGCGCCGGUAAGGUGAUAUGAACCGUUAUAACCGGCGAUGUCCGAAUGGGGAAACCCGGUGCACUUCGGUGCAUCAUCGUUAGCUGAAUACAUAGGCUAACGAAGCGAACCGGGGGAACUGAAACAUCUAAGUACCCCGAGGAAAAGAAAUCAACCGAGAUUCCCCCAGUAGCGGCGAGCGAACGGGGAACAGCCCAGAGCCUGAAUCAGCUUGUGUGUCAGUGGAACGGUCUGGAAAGGCCGGCGAUACAGGGUGACAGCCCCGUACACGAAGGCACACAGGCUGUGAGCUCGAUGAGUAGGGCGGGACACGUGAUAUCCUGUCUGAAGAUGGGGGGACCAUCCUCCAAGGCUAAAUACUCCUGACUGACCGAUAGUGAACCAGUACCGUGAGGGAAAGGCGAAAAGAACCCCGGCGAGGGGAGUGAAACAGAACCUGAAACCGUGUACGUACAAGCAGUGGGAGCCUUCGUAAGAGGGUGACUGCGUACCUUUUGUAUAAUGGGUCAGCGACUUAUAUUCUGUAGCAAGGUUAACCGUAUAGGGGAGCCGAAGGGAAACCGAGUCUUAAUUGGGCGUUAAGUUGCAGGGUAUAGACCCGAAACCCGGUGAUCUAGCCAUGGGCAGGUUGAAGGUUGGGUAACACUAACUGGAGGACCGAACCGACUAAUGUUGAAAAAUUAGCGGAUGACCUGUGGCUGGGGGUGAAAGGCCAAUCAAACCGGGAGAUAGCUGGUUCUCCCCGAAAGCUAUUUAGGUAGCGCCUCGUGAACUCAUCUCCGGGGGUAGAGCACUGUUUCGGCUAGGGGGCCAUCCCGGCUUACCAACCCGAUGCAAACUGCGAAUACCGGAGAAUGUUAUCACGGGAGACACACGGCGGGUGCUAACGUCCGUCGUGAAGAGGGAAACAACCCAGACCGCCAGCUAAGGUCCCAAAGUCAUGGUUAAGUGGGAAACGAUGUGGGAAGGCCCAGACAGCCAGGAUGUUGGCUUAGAAGCAGCCAUCAUUUAAAGAAAGCGUAAUAGCUCACUGGUCGAGUCGGCCUGCGCGGAAGAUGUAACGGGGCUAAACCAUGCACCGAAGCUGCGGCAGCGACACUGUGUGUUGUUGGGUAGGGGAGCGUUCUGUAAGCCUGCGAAGGUGUGCUGUGAGGCAUGCUGGAGGUAUCAGAAGUGCGAAUGCUGACAUAAGUAACGAUAAAGCGGGUGAAAAGCCCGCUCGCCGGAAGACCAAGGGUUCCUGUCCAACGUUAAUCGGGGCAGGGUGAGUCGACCCCUAAGGCGAGGCCGAAAGGCGUAGUCGAUGGGAAACAGGUUAAUAUUCCUGUACUUGGUGUUACUGCGAAGGGGGGACGGAGAAGGCUAUGUCGGCCGGGCGACGGUUGUCCCGGUUUAAGCGUGUAGGCUGACUUUCCAGGCAAAUCCGGAAAGUUAAGGCUGAGGCGUGAUGACGAGGCACCACGGUGCUGAAGUGACAAAUGCCCUGCUUCCAGGAAAAGCCUCUAAGCAUCAGGUAACAUCAAAUCGUACCCCAAACCGACACAGGUGGUCAGGUAGAGAAUACCAAGGCGCUUGAGAGAACUCGGGUGAAGGAACUAGGCAAAAUGGUGCCGUAACUUCGGGAGAAGGCACGCUGACAUGUAGGUGAAGCCCCUGCGGGUGGAGCUGAAGUCAGUCGAAGAUACCAGCUGGCUGCAACUGUUUAUUAAAAACACAGCACUGUGCAAACACGAAAGUGGACGUAUACGGUGUGACGCCUGCCCGGUGCCGGAAGGUUAAUUGAUGGGGUUAUCGCAAGAGAAGCUCCUGAUCGAAGCCCCGGUAAACGGCGGCCGUAACUAUAACGGUCCUAAGGUAGCGAAAUUCCUUGUCGGGUAAGUUCCGACCUGCACGAAUGGCGUAAUGAUGGCCAGGCUGUCUCCACCCGAGACUCAGUGAAAUUGAACUCGCUGUGAAGAUGCAGUGUACCCGCGGCAAGACGGAAAGACCCCGUGAACCUUUACUACAGCUUGACACUGAACAUUGAGCCUUGAUGUGUAGGAUAGGUGGGAGGCUUUGAAGCGUGGACGCCAGUCUGCGUGGAGCCGACCUUGAAAUACCACCCUUUAAUGUUUGAUGUUCUAACCUGGCGCCGUGAUCCGGCGUGGGGACAGUGUCUGGUGGGUAGUUUGACUGGGGCGGUCUCCUCCCAAAGUGUAACGGAGGAGCACGAAGGUCAGCUAAUCCUGGUCGGACAUCAGGAGGUUAGUGCAAUGGCAUAAGCUGGCUUGACUGCGAGAGUGACGGCUCGAGCAGGUGCGAAAGCAGGUCAUAGUGAUCCGGUGGUUCUGUAUGGAAGGGCCAUCGCUCAACGGAUAAAAGGUACUCCGGGGAUAACAGGCUGAUACCGCCCAAGAGUUCAUAUCGACGGCGGUGUUUGGCACCUCGAUGUCGGCUCAUCACAUCCUGGGGCUGAAGUAGGUCCCAAGGGUAUGGCUGUUCGCCAUUUAAAGUGGUACGCGAGCUGGGUUUAGAACGUCGUGAGACAGUUCGGUCCCUAUCUGCCGUGGGCGCUGGAGAAUUGAGGGGGGCUGCUCCCAGUACGAGAGGACCGGAGUGGACGCAUCACUGGUGUUCGGGUUGUCAUGCCAAUGGCACUGCCCGGUAGCUAAAUGCGGAAGAGAUAAGUGCUGAAAGCAUCUAAGCACGAAACUUGCCCCGAGAUGAGUUCUCCCUGAGACUUUAAGUCUCCUGAAGGAACGUUGAAGACGACGACGUUGAUAGGCCGGGUGUGUAAGCGCAGCGAUGCGUUGAGCUAACCGGUACUAAUGAACCGUGAGGCUUAACCUUACAACGCCAAAGAAGU
rnacentral:rRNA from 1 species